ACGUGAGACGUGUCGGGUUUGGUUUCUUACCGGUGGGGGUGGAGUUGGGAUUGUUGUGGCAUCCGUGGUUUUUUUUUUAAGUUUUCCGUUAUAGUUUACAGUAGAAAAGACAGCUUGCGGAAGACUUUUCUUUGGCUUUGCCACCAUUUUCUCGGGAGACAGGUUUAGCAGGUGUACUAAUCAACUGUAGGAUCUCCCGGAGAUAAGUGGGAUUCCAGAUCACUACUGGACUUAAAAUUCACACUGUUGCUAUACAGUAGUACAGGCUGCCUGACUAGGUAGCCAAAGCUUUUUGGCAAAGUCUAACAUGAUUAAAUCUUCUUGGAAAAAGAAAAGUAGUCUUGAGUACAGCAUCUACUUUAGGCUUUAGCUCCUUCACUAGAGCCCCUGUUUUAGACUCGACUUCAAUCAAAGUCACGAAGUGGAGGAUAUCAUCCUGGGAUGGAGUGCGCCGCAUUCCAAGAUCUUCAAGCAACUGUUGAAGUAAAUAUCCAGAUUGCAUCCUCUUAAUCUCUUGAGGAAUACAUUUCAGAUCACUCUUUUAAAAAGAGGCAUGCUUAUUAUAGAAGAAAGAAGCUUCUUGGUUGCCAUGCACAUCUCUGAACUUCACAGCCUUGAGAACUUGGAUGAUCUUUGAUGUGUUUUUUUUU